rnacentral:rRNA from 1 species
UACGAAGGGGGGCUAGCGUUGCUCGGAAUCACUGGGCGUAAAGGGCGCGUAGGCGGCCAUUCAAGUCAGAGGUGAAAGCCCAAGGCUCAACCUUGGAACUGCCUUUGAUACUGUUUGGCUUGAGACCGGUAGAGGUAAGUGGAACUGCGAGUGUAGAGGUGAAAUUCGUAGAUAUUCGCAAGAACACCAGUGGCGAAGGCGGCUUACUGGACCGGUUCUGACGCUGAGGCGCGAAAGCGUGGGGAGCAAACAGGG